AGGGAUGUGCCGACUCUUUGAAUCGACUCUUGUGAAAAAUUGGAGCUGAUUUGCAUGUCUGAAGGGUUUUUUCCCCUCCCCCUCAACGAGGACAAGACAAAUAUAUCCUUUGAUGUUCUCACUGACAAUUGAUCAGCAUUCUGUAUUCACGAUUCUCUAAUGUAUCGUAUACAGUGCAACUGUGGUUAAAAAGCAUCCAGUUUGGCACAUCACAAUGAUAUACACUCACCAUCCACUUUAUUAGUAACACCUGCACAUUCUCUAAUCUUCAACUGUUCAGUUUCGAUAAACCUAUGCCCAUGAUACAUCUGUUUGAGACGCCGUGUGACUGAGGUAGCAUGUGCCACAAAAAUAUAAAUAGAUGAACGACUGCCGUAACAAUCAAUCAAUGCAAAUAUGUAGCUAUUUGCAUGUAUUUGAUACAUGUAAAAUACUUUUGCAUGCAUUUACAUAGAUUUUAUGACAAAUGCAAUACUAAGUAUGAUUCUGAUAAUAACUGACAUUUUCAAUUAAAAUAUAAACCAUCGAUGGGUAAAGACCAACAACUUUGGCUAAUUUGGGGAGAAAUGGCAAUGAGGGCUGGGGAACCGAAAGAGUCGACUCUUAUCGGUGAGUGAACAAAUACAGAAAAGGGUAAACAUAUUCACCAAUAGAACUAGUCAGACUUUGAACACGUGACCAAAUUACGUCACCAUGACGCGACACUGCACUGUGUGGAAAAUCCCCUUUGCCUAAUGUGGUGUUUUAUUCCUACCCGUAUUCUGACAUAUAUUCUAUUCUGCCUGUGCGGCAAAUAGCUCUCAAUACAGAUAAAUCCAUUCGCGUAUUCGAGUUAGGCACAGAACUGUGCACUCUGGUACACACAUGAAUUCUUACAUGCUAACUUAGAUCAAAUUUGGCAGGUUUAGAGGUAAAACUGCUCAAAAAUUUGUUGUAGUUAACUGUAGUCCAGCUUUAGAUCUGGGACUUGAGUAUGACUGAAGGAAAAAUCACGAGUCUCAUUUAUCACCCUUGCGUCAACACCGCUUUGUGCCUGAACUAGUGAUUGUUUGCAAACUAGUCGAUUCUUUGAUUUGACUCUUUUAGGUGGAUAAUGCGAGCCGACUUAAUUUCUAAAGAAACAUCCAUCCAUUUUCCAUAAAGCUUAUCCUACACAGGGCCACAGGUGAGCCUGGAGCCUAUCCCAGGGAACUCAGGGUACUGAACAGUAUGUCAACCCAUCACAGGGCACAGUUGUGCACACACUAUGGACAAUUUGGGAAUGCCAAACAACUUACAAUGCAUGUCUUUGGACUGGGAGAGGAAACUGGAGUACCCAGAGAAAACCCCGAAGCACAGAGAGAACAUGCAAACCCCUAACCUCAGAGGUUGGGAUGGCCGACAGGAAAAUCUACCUUCUGCCUUCCCAAGGUUGCAGAGCAGAGUAUGUGAGUUUUUACAGUUCUCAUCACAUGAAUAUCACUCACUGCUGCUCAGGAUGACUGACAUGGAUAGCCUAAAGCUCACCAGGAGAUUACUGUGGAUGUUAUCACAUUAUGGUAACUAUUAUGAAUUCAAAAAUGACUG